rnacentral:snRNA from 1 species
UUGCUCGCUUCCACAGCACAUAUAUUAAAAUUGGAACGAUAUAGAGAAGAUUAGCAUGGCCCCUGUGUAAGGAUGACACACAAAUUUGUGAAGCAUUCCAAGAAAAA